rnacentral:rRNA from 1 species
UACAGAGGUCUCAAGCGUUGUUCGGAUUCAUUGGGCGUAAAGGGUGCGUAGGCGGCGCGGUAAGUCGGGUGUGAAAUCUCGGAGCUUAACUCCGAAACUGCAUUCGAUACUGCCGUGCUUGAGGACUGGAGAGGAGACUGGAAUUUACGGUGUAGCGGUGAAAUGCGUAGAUAUCGUAAGGAACACCAGUGGCGAAGGCGGCUAACUGGUCCAGAUCUGACGCUGAGGUGCGAAAGCGUGGGGAGCAAACAGG